rnacentral:lncRNA from 1 species
AUUCAGUCUGCAACCAUUCAUCGACAAGCUUGCAGAAGUUACAGGACACCAUCGCGCCAAUGAAAUUCGCAGUUUGACAUAUCCCAGCAGAGAGAGUGCCGAAGCAUCAUCUCUGACUGCCGGUCGACAAACCACUCUGCUAAUCACCACCAUUUACAGACAACUACAAGUCUAAUUCAGUAUACUCCUGAUGGUUACCCAGCGAGCCUUCUCCAGAGCCAAGAGCCCAAGAACAUCAAGCUGACAGAGCUCGAGCAGGGCUUCGUUGGCCGGCGCCGCCGAAGAGCAGUCAGCUGCUACCUUGCCUAGCUACCUAUAGCUUGCUACUAGCUGUAGAGGGUGACGAGGCGGCGGAAGCACCUGGUGCAAGAGUACUUGCGCUUGUUCUUGAGGCACAGCGGCAGGCCGAGGAUCCGCCGCUCGCUCUCCACGUCGGUGGCCACCACCGCGCCACCGCACCGCGGGCACGCGCCAGACGCCUUGUGCGUGCCCACCACCCGCUCCUUCUCCGCGCCGCACAGCAUCCGCACCGCGUUCAUCGCCAUCGAUUAUCUCCGAAGUAUCUUUGUUCCCCCUCCAAGAAGCGGAAUGGGAUCGAGCAGAGGAAGAAGAAGAAGAAGAAGAAGAUGGGGGUCGGGGUUGGCUUGGAGCGUUUCAGGAUUCCUGUUUCCUGGAAGAUGCCCGGCCGGUUGGACGUACUUAUAGCGGACAAGGGCGCAGGCCGCAGGCUGCCGACCGGAGGCAAGCUUGAAACAGGUGGAGGGGUUCGAUCGCGGAGGUUUCCUUCUGCUCGGUGCCGCGUGACGUGGCG